rnacentral:rRNA from 1 species
AUGGACGGUCAUAGGGGCUUGGUUCACCCGGUCUCAUAUUAUGUCGGUGCGAGCCGCGUAAGGGAAGUCCGAACCCGGAAGUUAAGCAAGCCUCCGUUCCUAGUUGUACUGUGCUUUGCAUGGGAACCUGGGAAAGCUGUCCACC